UGGCUGAGGGAUUUGAGAUCUCUGUGCAUUUCCUAUUUUACUAUAAAACAAUCUCAGAAACUGUUAUACCUUCACUCUCAUUCAGCUUGCCAAACCAAAUGUCAUGCCUCAUGGAUUUUGUAAGAAUGUGAAUUGUAGUUUCGAAGCUUAGCACCACGAAAAAACUCCAUCGAAGUUCAGAGCAGUACAAGUAGUGAAACACCAUAUGACUAAGAACUACAAGCUCAUGUCCGCUGGCAAGCUCCGUUCUAGGAAAUAUAGGCUCGCAGACAUGAAAGCCAUUCCAAAGAACACAGCUUUUACAGCUCGCUUCUGACCGGCAUAGUCGAAUGCCAAUGGAAGCAUCUCAUGUAAGGUUAAAAAUGCCAUCACCCCUCCCACUGCUCCCAGGAGGCCUUCCAGAAUUUCAGGAUUCAAGCUGCUUGGAAAUAGAUAUGCCACAAUAAUUACACCCAGAGGCUCUGCGAGACCAGAAAGUGUUGCCAAUUUGAA
rnacentral:misc_RNA from 1 species